CGCGUAAAGAACUUGCCUCACAGAUAGGGACAACAUUUGGAAACGAAUGCUAAUACCUGAUGUUAUGAUUUUAGGGCAUCCUAGGAUUAUGAAAGCUAUAUGCGCUGUGAGAGAGCUUUGCGUCCCAUUAGCUAGUUGGAGAGGUAACGGCUCACCAAGGCGAUGAUGGGUAGCCGGCCUGAGAGGGUGAUCGGCCACAAGGGGACUGAGACACGGCCCUU
rnacentral:rRNA from 1 species